rnacentral:rRNA from 1 species
AACGAACGCUGGCGGCACGCCUAACACAUGCAAGUCGAACGAGGUCAUUCUUUCGGGGAUGUUCCUAGUGGCGGACGGGUGAGUAACGCGUGGGAAUCUGCCUGAUAGUGGGGGAUAACUGUUGGAAACGACAGCUAAUACCGCAUACGCUGGAGAGUAGAAAAGAGAAGCAGGAAAGGAGAGGUACCGAGGGAAAGUUUUUGGUAUUUCUGUUUUCUGAUUUGGUGAGGGAAAGGUUCUUGGAAGCCUUUUCGUUUCCUCAAGAGAGAAGUUGGGAAAGGGUGUCAAUUCUUUCUGGAUUUCUCCUGUAGCAAGAGAGGUUUUGGAAACCUUUCUGCAUUGUUUCUUUUUUCUCCUCUCCAGGAAAGAUUUUAUCGCUAUCAGAUGAGCCCGCGUCAGAUUAGGUAGUUGGUGAGGUAAAGGCUCACCAAGCCAAUGAUCUGUAGCUGGUCUGAGAGGAUGACCAGCCACACUGGGACUGAGACACGGCCCAGACUCCUACGGGAGGCAGCA